UUCUAAGGACCUUUGAAUUUUCUGCAUCU
rnacentral:piRNA from 1 species